GCCGAUGUGAUUGGAAUGGCAUACAGCGGGGACUUAAAAUCCUACGGCCCUGUAAAAGGGAUUGGGGGUUCAACUCCCCCCAUCGGCACCA
rnacentral:tRNA from 1 species